CAGUCGCCGCGGGAAUACAGAGGGUGCGAGCGUUAAUCGGAUUUACUGGGCGUAAAGCGUGCGUAGGCGGCUUCUUAAGUCGGAUGUGAAAUCCCUGAGCUUAACUUAGGAAUUGCAUUCGAUACUGGUAAGCUAGAGUAUGGGAGAGGAUGGUAGAAUUCCAGGUGUAGCGGUGAAAUGCGUAGAGAUCUGGAGGAAUACCGAUGGCGAAGGCAGCCAUCUGGCCUAAUACUGACGCUGAGGUACGAAAGCAUGGGGAGCAAACAGGAUUAGAUACCCGCGUAGUCCCUGUCUCUUAUAC
rnacentral:rRNA from 1 species